rnacentral:rRNA from 1 species
ACGAACGCUGGCGGCGUGCUUCACACCUGCCAGUCGCACGGAAAGGCCCUGCUUGCAGGGUACUCGAGUGGCGAACGGGUGAGUAACACGUGGGUGAUCUGCCCUGCACUUCGGGAUAAGCCUGGGAAACUGGGUCUAAUACCGGAUAGGAGCCAUUUUUAGUGUGAUGGUUGGAAAGUUUUUUCGGUGUAGGAUGAGCUCGCGGCCUAUCAGCUUGUUGGUGGGGUAAUGGCCUACCAAGGCGGCGACGGGUAGCCGGCCUGAGAGGGUGGACGGCCACAUUGGGACUGAGAUACGGCCCAGACUCCUACGGGAGGCAGCAGUGGGGAAUAUUGCACAAUGGGCGCAAGCCUGAUGCAGCGACGCCGCGUGGGGGAUGACGGCCUUCGGGUUGUAAACUCCUUUCGCUAGGGACGAAGCUUUUUGUGACGGUACCUAGAUAAGAAGCACCGGCUAACUACGUG